rnacentral:tRNA from 1 species
UAGCUCAGUCGGUAGAGCACUUCCUUGGUAAGGAAGAGGUCGGCGGUUCAAAUCCGCU